AGGUAUCUGCCUAGUAGUGGGGGACAACCUGGUGAAAACCAGGCUAUACCGCAUAAGAUCUACGGAUGAAAGGAGGCCUCUUCUUGAAAGCUUUUGCUAUUAGAUGAGCCUAUGUCAGAUUAGCUAGUUGGUAGGGUAAUGGCCUACCAAGGCGACGAUCUGUAGCUGGUCUGAGAGGAUGAUCAGCCACACUGGGACUGAGACACGGCCCAG
rnacentral:rRNA from 1 species